rnacentral:rRNA from 1 species
GACGAACGCUGGCGGCGUGCCUAACACAUGCAAGUCGAGCGAAUGAAGUUCCUUCGGGAAUGGAUUCAGCGGCGGACGGGUGAGGAACACGUGUGCAACCUGCCUUUAUCUGGGGGAUAGACUUUCGAAAGGAAGAUUAAUACCCCAUAAUAUAUUUAGUGGCAUCACUUAAUAUUGAAAACUCCGGUGGAUAGAAAGGGGCACGCGCAAGAUUAGAUAGUUGGUGAGGUAACGGCUCACCAAGUCAAUGAGCUUUAGGGGGCCUGAGAGGGUGAUCCCCCACACUGGUACUGAGACACGGACCAGACUCCUACGGGAGGCAGCAGUGAGGAAUAUUGGACAAUGGGUUAGCGCCUGAUCCAGCCAUCCCGCGUGAAGGACGACGGCCCUAUGGGUUGUAAACUUCUUUUGUAUAGGGAUAAACCUACUCUCGUGAGAGUAGCUGAAGGUACUAUACGAAUAAGCACCGGCUAACUCCGUGCCAGCCGCCGCGGUAAUAC